GAUGAACGCUGACAGAAUGCUUAACACAUGCAAGUCUUUGGCGAAGCUGUGCUUGCACCGCCUAGCCAAGGCGGACGGGUGAGUAACGCGUAAGGAACUUGCCCUGCAGUCAGGGAUAACAGACGGAAACGACUGAUAAGACCUGGUAAAGUCAGGCGGACUCAUGUCCAGCCUGAUGAAAAGAGAUGCUGCAGGAGAGCCUUGCGUCCUAUUAGCUUGUGGGUGGGGUAACGGCCCACCAAGGCGAUGAUAGGUAGCCGGCCUGAGAGGGUGGACGGCCACAAGGGGACUGAGAGACGGCCCUUACGCCUACGGGAGGCAGCAGUGGGGAAUAUUGGACAAUGGGGGCAACCCUGAUCCAGCAAUUCGGUGUGCACGAUGAAGGUUUUCGGAUUGUAAAGUGCUUUCAGCAGGGAAGAAAAAAAUGACGGUACCUGCAGAGGAAGCGACGGCUAAAUACGUG
rnacentral:rRNA from 1 species